UCUGCCACAGAGGGAAUAUUAUUGUUAUGCUGCAGUCACAGGUCAUACGUUAACACACAUUAACAGCCUGCUCUUGUAUUUUCCUAGUUGUCUUGCUACAGCCCAACAUCUCUCUCAGUGCUCCAAAUGGAGGGAUGUUCUGGGGACUUCAGGGGCCAGAGGUGACCAGGGGCCACAGCUUCUCCAUCAUCUGCUCCAUUCAGCCACAGUAUCCUGGAAGCCUCUUCUAUCUGGACUUCUCUGGGUCCAACAGGACUGAAUGGAGACAUCCGUCAACGACUCUACCUCCUUUUACUUCCCUGUUGCAGAGUAUACAGACGAGGGCAACUACAGUUGUUUAUGAGGUUAUUGUCUCCACCCUGUCAUUCCAUUCUACCGACAGAGUUGCUGACAGUCAGCAUUCAAGCAUCCAUAGUCCCCAUUAUUGCCUCUGGCGCAAUAGCUGGGCUAUUGCUCCUGCUGCUGCUCAUUCCCAUUAAUGUUUAGUCUUGGAGGAAGAUAAGCAACAGAGAGCAGACUAUUACGAUAAACCCAAGAGAAACUGCCAUUAACAUGAACACACAUGGGAACACCGUGGGUGCAGCGAGUGAGGAAAACGAUGAAGAGGAUGAUGUCAACGCAGAAGCCUUUGUCAACAAGAGCAAAGACGAAGACUUGAAAAAAAAGGAUGCCAUGCAGGAAUGUGUGUGAAAAUAAUGAUUCAAAAUAAUGUCUGCAGUUAUGAAAGGAUAACCUGUGCCAAGAUCCUGACUCGAAGUCCAGGCACGUAAAUUCAAAAGUUUGUAUUCAUCCUUGGGAAUGCUCCAGGAGCCACGAACAAGUGUGGAAACAACCAAGGUGAAGGACCAGGUGAGGAAGAUGAGGACGUCUAUGAAAAUCCAGAUACCUUCACACGGGAUGGAUGAUGCCGAAGACAUGUACGAUGAAGACAAUGACCCUUUUGACCUGGAGCAGCUCGCUUCAUGUGAAGGCGGAGGGGAGAAUAUGACUAUGAAGAAGAUGACAACAUAUAGGCAAACUAAGAGUGAAGGCCUUGUAAUAGGCAUGUUGAUGCAGAGAUAUCGGUAACAGGAGAGGCUUGAAAGGUUAGCUUUGUGAGUUGAAUUAUCAGGGCUUAAAAAAAAUACGUUUUCAUUAAAACGUUUCAGUUGGUCGAUAAGAGUAAAGGCUUUGUUUCCAUUUCAAUAUACAUUUUUUGUGUGUCCGAUUUCUAGUUGUAUUCUUGCCAGGUAAUUAAAAUAGUUUUCUGACUUGA